rnacentral:rRNA from 1 species
GACGAACGCUGGCGGCGUGCUUAACACAUGCAAGUCGAACGGAAAGGCCCUGCUUUUGUGGGGUGCUCGAGUGGCGAACGGGUGAGUAACACGUGAGUAACCUGCCCUUGACUUUGGGAUAACUUCAGGAAACUGGGGCUAAUACCGGAUAGGAGCUCCUGCUGCAUGGUGGGGGUUGGAAAGUUUCGGCGGUUGGGGAUGGACUCGCGGCUUAUCAGCUUGUUGGUGGGGUAGUGGCUUACCAAGGCUUUGACGGGUAGCCGGCCUGAGAGGGUGACCGGCCACAUUGGGACUGAGAUACGGCCCAGACUCCUACGGGAGGCAGCAGUGGGGGAUAUUGCACAAUGGGCGGAAGCCUGAUGCAGCAACGCCGCGUGCGGGAUGACGGCCUUCGGGUUGUAAACCGCUUUCGCCUGUGACGAAGCGUGAGUGACGGUAAUGGGUAAUGAAGCACCGGCUAACUACGUG